rnacentral:lncRNA from 1 species
UUUUUUUUUUUAAAUAAUAAUACAAAAUCAGAAUAACAAAAUAAUAAAUGAGCCCAUUUCACAAAUUUGGGCCUAAAUCAAACAUAAAACCUUAAACAAGUCCAAGCAAUACAAAUAAAUCCAACCCAACUGAAAUUAAGCCCAAACCCAAUUAAUAACUAAUACCCAACCCACUUAAUUACUGCCCAAUUGAAAACACAAAAACGAAGCCCAGACCGAAAUCCCUUGAUUAAUACCGAAAAUCUCCCAAUUGAAACCACUGGAGACAGCGCGGCGACUGACGGUCCUUCUCGGUGACUACUGCAGUUGGGGACGAGUGCUGGAGUACGGGUACCAACGGGAUGGAUUAUUGAUUUUGGGUCGGUUUGGAACUUUCUGUUGUCUUCCUGGUUGAAUCGGGCCUCUGUUGAAAUCGAGGCAGAAAAGGCGACGGGGAAGGAACCGUAGCGGGUGUGGAUGAUGGGUAUUGUAUGUAUUGGACCAAUCGUGAUGUUGGAUUACCUGUAUGGGUUAUUAGAAGAUGCCGGCGAUUAAGUAUGUGGUUUCGUACAGAUUGUAAAAAUUUGGUGGUGUCGUCUGUUGGAGGCAAUAGAAGUUGGUUAUUGCUACUUGCAGGGUUUAUGGUGGGGGUUGAUAGUCAGCAGUUACAGGCAAAAGGCGGUUGUGGAUUUUUGCAAUAGCACUGGUCGCAUAUUGGCUGUUCUCGAUGUUGAAGGUGGGGUGGUGUGGUGUUGAGUUGCAGGGGAUUGGAUGAUGGACUGAAUAUCUAUUGUAGUGGAUGAAGCAUUGGAUUUACUGAAUGUCAAUGAAAAUAUUGGCUGUGAACUGUGGACAUGGUGAAUAUUGCUGGGUAGUCGUAACUAUUUUGAUGCAGUGACGAAUCCCAAGUUUAGCUCUGAUACCAAUUUGAUGUAGAAUAACUCAGUAAACAUAAUAAGAAGAGAAGAGAGAAGAGAGGAGAAGAAGAAGGCAGAGAGGGAAGAGGAGAACACAGAGACGGGGAAGAGGGGGGAGAUGGCUGCAAAACCAAUUCUUUAUUUUAUCAAAUUCAUCAAUCCCAAAUAACAAUGUAAGAUAGGUUUAAAUACUGGAAAAAUAAUGUAAACCUAGGGCCAAGCCCAUACACAAGUCCAUAAAAUUAAAUAACCUAACUUCCAACUAAAAUAAUUAAAAUUGCUAAACUUAAUUAAAAUUGGAUGUCCUCAUCA